rnacentral:rRNA from 1 species
UACGGGGGGAGCAAGCGUUGUUCGGAUUUACUGGGCGUAAAGGGCGCGUAGGCGGUCAGCACAAGUCAGUUGUGAAAUCUCCGGGCUUAACUCGGAAAGGUCAACUGAUACUGUGCGACUAGAGUGCAGAAGGGGCAACUGGAAUUCUCGGUGUAGCGGUGAAAUGCGUAGAUAUCGAGAGGAACACCUGCGGCGAAGGCGGGUUGCUGGGCUGACACUGACGCUGAUGCGCGAAAGUGUGGGGAUCAAACAGG